CUCACCUGUGCACUCAACCUGCUGCAGUCCCCCUGAGCAAGCAAGAGCUUUCCUGGACCAAGGGAAACCUCAGGAGCUGCAGAGAGGUCCUGCUGCCUGGAGCAGACGCAGAAACCCUGACAGCCCAGCUGGUAAGGACAGGAAGAUUGCCACAUUGGGAUGAAAGGAAUGUGGCAUGGAGUGGUUGAAAGUAGCUGAUCUCUGAAAUUCUCUGGAUAUUCUUGGGGAAAGGAAAAAAGAGCAAUGGUGUUACAAAGCUGCAUGUUGUUUGUAGGAGGUUGUUUCCCCAGGCUCAUAGUUACAGUGCAAGAAGAGAUGACAACCUUCUAAAAAAGCCCAGAAGGGAAAAAGAGUCACAAAGCCUGUCACUUUGUGCUGUGGAAUCUCCAUCAGACAGCAAACUCACCCUGGGGCCAGGGACACCCAGGACAUCCAGCUGGGAUGGUGCCCCUGAGAGAAGCAGUCCUGGUGCCCUAGGGGAGCCAGCAUGCCCACAGGGACACUACAGGGCACCCCAAAGGCUGGUGGAAAUUCACUGAUAAAUGCAGCCUCAAGGCUUCUGAUAAACAUUUGUAUCCCUCUGUUCUACCCCUGUUUGAAAUACACUUGGCUUUAUGUUUUCCUUGGCAGGGAAGGUAAAGCCUUGGGAAUAUACAUUAAAGUUUUAGCAUGUGAAAAAAAAUUCUGGCAAUAGCUCUGUAAAGCCUGCCUUUGCUAUGUGCAGCCUUUACAGAGAGAGGAACAUCAUUUUUCUGGGGGUUUUUUCUGAGGUCCAAGAUUACACAGGUAUUCAGGAUGGAAGUCAACAUGUCUUUGAAGAUUUAUGCAUUAGAGAUGGUGAAAACCACCAAGCACACUAGUUAACCCAAAUCUCAGACAUGCCAGAGUAAAUGGAUUUCUCUUUGAAAACAGGGUACACACUAGCCUGGUUUAAACAUAGGCUUUGUGCUGUAUUCUUUGUCCCUAUCAUGGCAUUUAAGCUGCACAAAGCUUUGUUUCUUGAGAGUGAAGUACUGAUUCCUCAGUGUUUAGGGGUAGCUGACUUGACAUCAGCUUUCCCAGAAACAGGAAAAAAAAAUCACCCUUUACAAAAUCACAGAUAUAGGUGUCACUUUUAAACUCAUGGAUUUCCCAUACAAUGGCAUUGUCUGAUUGGAAACAGUUCAGAGUAAUUUCAGUGGAACUUGAUUAAAAAAAAGGUGGUUAGAAAAUCAAUUGGAUCCUAUUUGCCUUUCAAAUAAAGUCAACAAACUUUC